AGCACAAUUAUUUCCUAUAACAGGUGAACAGCAAUUCUAGUGCUAUUUUAUAAAAGAGGAAACUAAGGCAGAGAGCCGAGGCUGCUUUGUGAGUCAAGGGCUGACGUGGGAUUAGAAGGCAGGAAACUUCUUCCUGAGUCAAAUACAUCCCAGCCACAACUGCCUAAUUUGUUUAGCAAGGAUUGUGUUGCACUGAGAUGGUGCAAGGUGAGGGGAGGUUGGAAGAAUGCAUGCCUACAUUUCAUAAUCAUACACUGUUCAGGACACUCUGGGCAAAUCCCUGCUUAGCACUAUUGCUAAGAUUGUUUUUAGCAGAGGAAAGUCAGAAGUUUCCCAUCACAGGCAGGAGCAUCCGUUCCUCUGUACCGGCUCUUCUAAUGGAUAGGAGAGAUUUUAGUCACUCUGAAGCAGCCACAGCUUGAAACAGUCCCCAAAGGGAGACUCUGAAAAGAGUUACUGCUUCUUUAACCUAACCAGAGGCAAGACCUUGAUAGGAACGAAGGACAGAGCUGCGACUGCUGAGGGAAGAAAAGAAUUGAAAACAAUUAGCGUGUUGAUGUCAACUUAAAGAGGGUCACCAAGAGAUCAGCUUUCCCUGCGUCUGUUCUUUAAUUAAAGAGAGAAAGGUGGCAGUGUCCACUACUCAUCGCUAUGGUAACAUUUAAAUGCCACACAGCUGGAAGUGGCUGCGCGCUGGCUGCGGAGCGGGACCAGCCGCGAGCAGAGCAGGAGCAGGUCCAGCUCCACGGAAGGGCGAGGGAAGGCCCCGGGAAGCUGCUCCCACACCUGGGAGGGUUCUCAGCCGGUGCAAAGCUCAGCUGCACACCACGGACCCUGCACCGCUUGGGAUGGAGCACGGCGAGGGGAGCCUGCCCGGGAUGAGAGACCAGAAAUGUCAUGUCAGGAGAGGGGAGGUAAGCCUGAACUGCAUGUCAAGUUUUUUCACCAGAUUCCUGACUUUAAGUGACAGCAUGAGAGGAUGAAAACACUCAGCCUUCAUCUCCCAUUCAUCUAACAGCCGCUGAAUAAUGGCUUUAAAGAACAAGAACACUAAUCUUGCUCUAGUCAUCAGCCAGCAACUGCAUGGGCUCCACACCUAAAGUUCCUCUCCACAACAGAAUUGCUGCUCAUUUUACUGACAGAUACAUGUGUAGAAAAGACAGCUUCUAUUUGAAUUUCUUUUAAGAACUUGAUCUCAAGUUCUUGAACUCCAAAUCUCACUGAAGUUGAAGAAGCUACGCCUGCCUCCACCACUUGUAUUGGCAUAGAGAACCUGUUGUUUUACCAUCUUUAAAAUGAUAAAAUUUUAUCCUUCUCUGUCACUGCUUAUCCUAAAGAAAUGCAAAGCACUUUGCAGCACUUUACAUAAUGAUGUAUAAGUUAUCAUGUCACCAACAUGCCGAGAGGAUGCUGCUCUUUACCAGAGCGCUGCUCCAGAUGACAGGAAGAAAGAGGUAGCCUUUUAUUGUAGACAAAACAAUUAAUGGAUACAGAUUGCAGUAUGGAAAUUAAGAUACAACGCUAAAAUCAGUAUCCGGCACUACAAAAGCUGUAAAGACCACAAAUAGGAUCACAAAGAGAAUCUACCAUUCAGUUGUAUGCAACUUAUAUUAAUACUUAGAUGAUUUAACAAUGACCCUCUCAUUUGCUUAGAGGAAUAUGCCAAUAACUUCUUUUCAGUAUUCUUUGUGGAGGUGGGGAAAGAUAUAGUAUUUUUUCCCCUUAUUACAAAAGAAUGUUUAAUAUGUCAACUUAUUUUUAUCAUUUUUUUUAUUCCACAAAGGAAUAAAAUAUCUUACCUCUGGGGAACACACAGAUGGCUGCCAACAUAACAUGAACAUUGUGCUUUACAUAAUUUCAGCUCAUCUGAAAGCCUCUCAAGAAUUAAACCUCUGCACUAUUUUGGUAACAUCAUUUGGCCACUAGCUGGGCAGUAUUUCAGGGGAUGGGGGUGUGGGACCCCUAGCUCCUUCCAAGUAUAUCUCCUGAUUUAUGGCAAUAUGUAACUGGAUGAGACAAUAGCAACACACUUUGAUUAACUUGCACGUAUAUAACUUACAUUAUCUCCUCUUGCACACACAGAAUAGAAGUAAAUAAAAGGAAGAUGUAAGUAAGAAACAUUGGGUUUUGGCCAGUAUAAGUCAUGAGGGUAUUGUACAUAAGUUUCUGUAUUUCCAUGGAGGUAUCCAGUGCACUUGAUAGGAACACUGCAGUGAAAUCUGACCCCCCAGGAACGUGUGAGUCCUCAAGGGCACGUGGAGAUAAUGACCCAACCUGCGCGUUAGGUCGGCACGGGAAGAACACGCCGGGUAAAAGAGGUGAGCAGGGAUAUGCACAGGCACGGUAAGGCACGUGAAUCCCUAUAUCAAUAAGGUUUUUGAAAUCAGAUUAAUUUCUACACAAUUAACAAGGCUGUUGAAAGAUCUGCUUUACAGCUGCUGCCGCUGCCAGGAGAUGAUGACAACUAAGGAAAUGAAAAUCAAAGGAGGAAACAAUUACAACAAUACUCGCUGAAACUAUUUAGAGUUCUCUUAAUAAGUCAGAGAAACAAGUAAUUGAAAGAAUGUAUUUUAUUGCUGAUUAAGAUAAUACUUAAUUCAGGUCUUGUUUUUAAAAAGAGCUCAAAUUAACAAAUCAGGUCUUUCAUCUGAGCACAAGUGAGGGCUCAGUACAUUCUCCUCAUAUCCCACAGUCUGGAGAUUUGGAGGGUGGGCACUGGGAGAGAGCAAACAUGAGAAAGAGGUAGGACACAUUCAGGAAGAAAGGCCAGCUGGAAAAAGUACCAAAUUACAAGACAUUUAAGAUAUUAAGUCUUAUUCAUUUAAAUCUAGUAGCACAACAGUAACUAUGCCUUGCUUUUCUACACAUUAAGCUAUACCAGCCUUUUCCUGUUCUCCAACCAUCAUACAAAUGGUAACACCAAACAUUAAGCCCAGCACCUAAGCCUGUGGAACAAGGGAUGAUUUUAAAAUAAAACAUUACAUAUGUUUUAUAAGCAGAAACGUUGCCGGCAUCUUCUUUAAACAACAACACCACAAUCCAUAUAUCCUUUUCCUUAAAGUUCAUAGUGCCAUCAUGUCACAUCUCUAGAUAUUAUAACUGAGAGACAAGGGAAUGUAAAACAGUUAGAAAAAUAAGUUAGCUGUGACUGCCAUUUCUUUGAAACUAAGUGGGGUAACUCAGCUAGUUGCCAGAUUGCAAGAACACCUGGGGCCACUGCAAAUUUUCUCUUAAAUUUCAGGUUCUACACCAGCAUCUUUCCCUUUUUUCUUCUGAAGGUCGAAAUAAAAUAAGAGGUGAAAUGUAAACAGGAUAUGACAAGACUUUCAGUUUUGAUAAUGAAAGGUAGGAUUAAUAAAAAAAGAUGAGUAUGGGCUUUUAAACACUAUGUUAUAACUUGAUAGUGUUUUGAAAAACUCAGACAUAUAAAAGUUAAUCAUAAAAAUACUGGCAAACUUGCCUUUGAAGGGGGAGGCAGCAAAAAAUUACAGAACAUCAGAGCUCGAAGGGAAAGGUAAAAAGAAUUGGAAAAGGGUUAAAAUCACUAAGAUUAAGAAGGUGCAUGACAACCAUUCUCAAAGACCUGAUCUGCGCUAACAAAACCAUAUCCUAUGCUUUUGAUGAGACACUCACAAAUGAUUUAGCAAGAGGUGCUUUUGAAUUAUACCAGUGCUUUUUGGCAAUAAAAUGUCUUUUUUUUUUUUUAGUUUUCAUUUGUAUCUGCCCUGAGCUGAAAACAUCUUUGCUAGAAAAUAAUAACCAGGUUGAAGGUAUUUUUAAAGCAAAAAACUCCCUAAAAAUGAACUUAUUGCAAAUGUUAGCAAAAAUCGAUUAAAAUAAAAUUAAGAUUUCAGGAAAUACUAAAUCUAAACAAUCAAAUAUAAUGCAGAAGAGGCUCAAGAUUUUAAGCAGUUUAAAUCAAGACAGAAAGGCAUGGAUUUCAAAGAGCUAUGAAGCUUAUAAAGGCCAAAGUUCUACCUUACCUUCUGCUAAAACUCAGUGACUUCCCUGUUGGGUUUUUUUGUGUGCACGUGUUUUAAAGUAGCUGCUUUAGAAUAUAAAAAUACCUGUCUUAAGCUGCAUGUUAAUUAAAGUUCAGUCUGCCUUUGA